ACGGGUGAGUCAUGCCUACGAAUCUGCCUGGUACUGGGGGAUAACGUUCGGAAACGGACGCUCCUACCGCAUACGUCCUACUGGAGAAAGCAGGGGACCUCCGGGCCUUGCGCUAUCAGAUGAGCCUAGGUCGGAUUAGCUAGUUGGUGAGGUAAUGGCUCACCAAGGCGACGAUCCGUAACUGGUCUGAGAGGAUGAUCAGUCACACUGGAACUGAGACACGGUCCAGACUCCUACGGGAGGCAGCAGUGGGGAAUAUUGGACAAUGGGCGAAAGCCUGAUCCAGCCAUGCCGCGUGUGUGAAGAAGGUCUUCGGAUUGUAAAGCACUUUAAGUUGGGAGGAAGGGCAGUUACCUAAUACGUGAUUGUUUUGACGUUACCGACAGAAUAAGCACCGGCUAACUCUGUGCCAGCAGCCGCGGUAAUACAGAGGGUGCAAGCGUUAAUCGGAAUUACUGGGCGUAAAGCGCGCGUACGUGGUUUGUUAAGUUGGAUGUGAAAUCCCCGGGCUCAACCUGGGAACUGCAUUCAAAACUGACUGACUAAAGUGUGGUAGAGGGUGGUGGAAUUUCCUGUGUA
rnacentral:rRNA from 1 species